rnacentral:tRNA from 4 species
AUUUAUUCCCGCUUGGAUAAGCCCCAAGGAUUACGGCUUGAAAAGCCAUUGUUGUUCUCAACUACGGGAA